AGCUGAGCGGCUCCUGACUGCAAGAUAAAGAGAACUGAAAGGUUCAAAUAGUAACAGAGCUGCUUUUGAGGGAUGCCAGGCCAUCAGCUUGUCCCGUGCGUCCAUUUGCACCAAUGCUGCUCGGGGUGGAUAUGGAGUGCCCUCCUUCUGCUGUGUCCUUCUGGAGCCUAGCAAUGGCUUAAGGGCUUCCUAUGUCCAGCUACUUAAUGACUGGCAUAAUUAACGAUAGCAACUGUGGCACCAGGUUUGGAAAUGAAGUCGCGUUGUGUGGUGACGGCGUUAUCUUGUGUUUGUUUUACGCUGGUUGAGUGAGUCACGGCGUUGUUGGUUUGCCUCGUUAUUUGAGGUUCUGCAAUCCCAGCUGAUGUUUGUAAGCUGCUUUGGGCUGACGGGAUGAAAGCUAAUAAGGAAAAAGUACAAUUGAGCUUUAGAAAGGAGGGUAAUGGUGCUGCUGCAGUCAUGGGAAGCUGCGAGGUGGAUGGGAAUGCUGUGUUCAAGCGUGCUGUUAAAUUCCUUCAUCCAUGGUCUGAAUUUUUGGCCCCAGGAGAACAACGCAGUUCUCCAUCAUUACACAUUCAAGGCAAACACUGCAGAACCCUGUGAUAAUAUCAGUAUUUAAACACAUAACCAGGUGCAAAUCAUCUGGUUGGCUGGGGAUCCCUGAGCAGAAAAGCAUUGGUGCUUCAGGGUGGGAUGACAGAAGCGUGCAAUUAGCAGGGGGCGGUUGGUUCAUCCAGCUCUUCUGUGCGGUGUGCAAGGAUGAGGAGGGGAUGGAGGCCCUGUUUUGUGCAAUCCCUUCAAUGAAUUCACAUUACCGUGUCCUCUUGGGUCUGCAGUUCUCUUUGAAGGCUGAUGAAUGGCACAGGUCUGAGAGGGGCAGUGCUGUGUGCAUAUCCCAGGGUCCUGGCCCAGACCUCUGGAGCUGUUGGAUCUGCCGAGAAGAUGAAUUCUGAUAAUGCAGUGUCCUGUUUUCAUGUUAUCUUGCUUACAGAACACGGCAAUAUGGAUGGGAUUUGUGCAGGAAUUUAAAGAAACAAAGAGAAUCGAAAACACGACCAAAUAGAUGCAGUGUUCAGCCCUAAACAGAUGGGAACCUGUCAGCACAACAUGGAGAUAAUUAUCCAUUGGAGCCAUGGGAAGCUUCAUGGCUGAGAGGAAGUUACUGCAGCCAGUGCAGCCCUGCUUUAUCAUCUUAGCAGUUUUUUUGGACAGAGCAUAUUGCAGUGAAGAGAGCCCAGAGCUGGAGGUGGGAACCAGAGCUCUCAGAUCAGGGAUUUUGAAGGCAACAGCAAGGUGACAGCUGGGUUUUAACAGACGACCUCUUCCAUGACAAAGCCACGUGCAAAGGAAAUGCAGAAGGUCGGUGCCUGCUGGCUCGUGGGCUUCCCAGGUGUGA